UACGUAGGCAGCGAGCGUUGUUCGGAAUUACUGGGCGUAAGGAGUGUGUAGGCGGUGCUCUAAGUUCGGUGUGAAAUCUCCCGGCUUAACUGGGAGGGUGCGCCGGAAACUGGAGUGCUCGAGCGUGGGAGAGGAAAGCGGAAUUCCUGGUGUAGCGGUGAAAUGCGUAGAUAUCAGGAGGAACACCGAUGGCGAAGGCAGCUGCCUGGCCUAGAACUGACGCUGAGGUGCGAAAGCGUGGGGAGCGAACAGG
rnacentral:rRNA from 1 species